rnacentral:sRNA from 1 species
UUUAGCUAAUCAAGUAGAGAAAAUUGGAUGCACAGUUGUCUGUGGAUGAAUAAUUUGUGAAUAAAUAAAAGUGAUUUCCACUAUCAUCAGACAGAUGGAUGUCUUUCAUGUGUGUGUGAGUGUGUAUGUGUGUAUAUCCACAUACGAAAAGACAUUUCAAU